rnacentral:rRNA from 1 species
UACGGAGGGUGCAAGCGUUAAUCGGAAUCACUGGGCGUAAAGCGCGCGUAGGCGGUGAUGAAAGUCAGUGGUGAAAGCCCACAGCUUAACUGUGGAAUUGCCAUUGAAACUGCAUUGCUUGAGUGUGUGAGAGGAUAGUGGAAUUCCUGGUGUAGGAGUGAAAUCCGUAGAUAUCAGGAGGAACAUCAGUGGCGAAGGCGACUAUCUGGCACAAUACUGACGCUGAGGUGCGAAAGCGUGGGGAGCAAACAGG